CUUUUAAAAUAUCUGAGACAAACAAGGAAGGAAAAUAAUAUUCUACCUCACCCUGUUACCACCCUAGAAGACAGAAAAUCUUCCCUGAAGCAGAACAGAGCAGAGAUGGCAGGAGGGGGAGAGAGUGGCUGCCUCUAGCAUUCAGGCAGGAGAGUCCAUGCAGGA
rfam:Heterocephalus glaber contig131240, whole genome shotgun sequence.